rnacentral:rRNA from 1 species
UACGGAGGGUGCAAGCGUUGUUCGGAAUCACUGGGCGUAAAGGGCGUGUAGGCGGUCCGCUAAGUCUGAUGUGAAAGCCCGAGGCUUACCCUCGGAAGUGCAUUGGAGACUGGCGGACUGGAGUCCCGGAGAGGAGGGUGGAAUUCCUGGUGUAGCGGUGAAAUGCGUAGAGAUGUGGAGGAACACCGAUGGCGAAGGCAGCCCCCUGGGUCGAUACUGACGCUCAUGCACGAAAGCGUGGGGAGCAAACAGG